rnacentral:lncRNA from 12 species
GUCCAUUUAUGAACUAUAAGAAGGAUUCAGUAUGUGUCAUCAUUUUCAUAAAAGGAAGGAAAUCAGCAAAGUAGCCCAACUCUCUGGGGAAGAUGCAAUGUCAACAAUUAGGAAGAAAGAAGAAUUGGAGCUUAUAAUCAGACAAAUUCCAGCUACAUGUAUUGAGGAAAGAAAUUUCUUAUGACUAAGAAAGGCUUUCUGAGGCUGCACUGAAGAAAUAGGACGGAAUUCAUAACUGUGACUUCCAGAGUAAUAUUCUGUUUCAUAGGAAGAUACAAAUAAAUGGCCGAUUUUCUGUCUAGCUGUGUGAUAG